AUGACACCCCAAGGCCACCGCGGGUGUCAGCUACACGGUCUUCCAAAGGCCAGAAGGAACCCGAUUAUCUUAAGUCACUCAAGGUGGAGAAUACAGCCUCUCUGGUCACGUUUCCUGCCAUGUGACCAAGUGCAGAGCAAAAGAUUAUGAGCUUCAUGAAGGUAAAACAGAGUUUUAGCCUGUACACACCUCUGGUCCUCCAAACCCUGGCACAAUGUCCGAUAAACGAUCAGUUCUCAGGCAAAA
rnacentral:lncRNA from 1 species